rnacentral:tRNA from 1 species
UAGGAAGUGGUGUAGUGGAAGCACAAAGAGUCUUGAUCUCUUUAGGUAGGGGUUCGAGUCCCUUCUUUCUAG